CUCCCUGAUGUUAGCGGCGGACGGGUGAGUAACACGUGGGUAACCUGCCUGUAAGACUGGGAUAACUCCGGGAAACCGGGGCUAAUACCGGAUGCUUGUUUGAACCGCAUGGUUCAAACAUAAAAGGUGGCUUCGGCUACCACUUACAGAUGGACCCGCGGCGCAUUAGCUAGUUGGUGAGGUAAUGGCUCACCAAGGCAACGAUGCGUAGCCGACCUGAGAGGGUGAUCGGCCACACUGGGACUGAGACACGGCCCAGACUCCUACGGGAGGCAGCAGUAGGGAAUCUUCCGCAAUGGACGAAAGUCUGACGGAGCAACGCCGCGUGAGUGAUGAAGGUUUUCGGAUCGUAAAGCUCUGUUGUUAGGGAAGAACAAGUACCGUUCGAAUAGGGCGGUACCUUGACGGUACCUAACCAGAAAGCCACGGCUAACUACGUGCCAGCAGCCGCGGUAAUACGUAGGUGGCAAGCGUUGUCCGGAAUUAUUGGGCGUAAAGGGCUCGCAGGCGGUUCCUUAAGUCUGAUGUGAAAGCCCCCGGCUCAACCGGGGAGGGUCAUUGGAAACUGGGGAACUUGAGUGCAGAAGAGGAGAGUGGAAUUCCACGUGUAGCGGUGAAAUGCGUAGAGAUGUGGAGGAACACCAGUGGCGAAGGCGACUCUCUGGUCUGUAACUGACGCUGAGGAGCGAAAGCGUGGGGAGCGAACAGGAUUAGAUACCCUGGUAGUCCACGCCGUAAACGAUGAGUGCUAAGUGUUAGGGGGUUUCCGCCCCUUAGUGCUGCA
rnacentral:rRNA from 1 species